GACGAACGCUGGCGGCGUGCUUAACACAUGCAAGUCGAACGGUAAGGCCCUUCGGGGUACACGGGUGGCGAACGGGUGAGUAACACGUGGGUGAUCUGCCCUGCACUUCGGGAUAAGCCUGGGAAACUGGGUCUAUACCGGAUAGGACUCCGGACUGCAUGGUCUGGGGUGGAAAGCUUUUGCGGUGUGGGAUGGGCCCGCGGCCUAUCAGCUUGUUGGUGGGGUGAUGGCCUACCAAGGCGACGACGGGUAGCCGGCCUGAGAGGGUGACCGGCCACACUGGGACUGAGAUACGGCCCAGACUCCUACGGGAGGCAGCAGUGGGGAAUAUUGCACAAUGGGCGCAAGCCUGAUGCAGCGACGCCGCGUGAGGGAUGACGGCCUUCGGGUUGUAAACCUCUUUCAGCACAGACGAAGCGCAAGUGACGGUAUGUGCAGAAGAAGGACCGGCCAACUACGUGCCAGCCGCCGCCGUAA
rnacentral:rRNA from 1 species